rnacentral:rRNA from 1 species
GCGGGACACGUGGUAUCCUGUCUGAAUAUGGGGGGACCAUCCUCCAAGGCUAAAUACUCCUGACUGACCGAUAGUGAACCAGUACCGUGAGGGAAAGGCGAAAAGAACCCCGGCGAGGGGAGUGAAAAAGAACCUGAAACCGUGUACGUACAAGCAGUGGGAGCCUCUUAAUGGGGUGACUGCGUACCUUUUGUAUAAUGGGUCAGCGACUUAUAUUCUGUAGCAAGGUUAACCGAAUAGGGGAGCCGAAGGGAAACCGAGUCUUAACUGGGCGUUAAGUUGCAGGGUAUAGACCCGAAACCCGGUGAUCUAGCCAUGGGCAGGUUGAAGGUUGGGUAACACUAACUGGAGGACCGAACCGACUAAUGUUGAAAAAUUAGCGGAUGACUUGUGGCUGGGGGUGAAAGGCCAAUCAAACCGGGAGAUAGCUGGUUCUCCCCGAAAGCUAUUUAGGUAGCGCCUCGUGAAUUCAUCUCCGGGGGUAGAGCACUGUUUCGGCAAGGGGGUCAUCCCGACUUACCAACCCGAUGCAAACUGCGAAUACCGGAGAAUGUUAUCACGGGAGACACACGGCGGGUGCUAACGUCCGUCGUGAAGAGGGAAACAACCCAGACCGCCAGCUAAGGUCCCAAAGUCAUGGUUAAGUGGGAAACGAUGUGGGAAGGCCCAGACAGCCAGGAUGUUGGCUUAGAAGCAGCCAUCAUUUAAAGAAAGCGUAAUAGCUCACUGGUCGAGUCGGCCUGCGCGGAAGAUGUAACGGGGCUAAACCAUGCACCGAAGCUGCGGCAGCGACACUAUGUGUUGUUGGGUAGGGGAGCGUUCUGUAAGCCUGUGAAGGUGGCCUGUGAGGGUUGCUGGAGGUAUCAGAAGUGCGAAUGCUGACAUAAGUAACGAUAAAGCGGGUGAAAAGCCCGCUCGCCGGAAGACCAAGGGUUCCUGUCCAACGUUAAUCGGGGCAGGGUGAGUCGACCCCUAAGGCGAGGCCGAAAGGCGUAGUCGAUGGGAAACAGGUUAAUAUUCCUGUACUUGGUGUUACUGCGAAGGGGGGACGGAGAAGGCUAUGUUGGCCGGGCGACGGUUGUCCCGGUUUAAGCGUGUAGGCUGGUUUUCCAGGCAAAUCCGGAAAACCAAGGCUGAGGCGUGAUGACGAAGCACUACGGUGCUGAAGCGACAAAUGCCCUGCUUCCAGGAAAAGCCUCUAAGCAUCAGGUAACAUCAAAUCGUACCCCAAACCGACACAGGUGGUCAGGUAGAGAAUACCAAGGCGCUUGAGAGAACUCGGGUGAAGGAACUAGGCAAAAUGGUGCCGUAACUUCGGGAGAAGGCACGCUGAUAUGUAGGUGAAGCGACUUGCUCGUGGAGCUGAAAUCAGUCGAAGAUACCAGCUGGCUGCAACUGUUUAUUAAAAACACAGCACUGUGCAAACACGAAAGUGGACGUAUACGGUGUGACGCCUGCCCGGUGCCGGAAGGUUAAUUGAUGGGGUUAGCGGUAACGCGAAGCUCUUGAUCGAAGCCCCGGUAAACGGCGGCCGUAACUAUAACGGUCCUAAGGUAGCGAAAUUCCUUGUCGGGUAAGUUCCGACCUGCACGAAUGGCGUAAUGAUGGCCAGGCUGUCUCCACCCGAGACUCAGUGAAAUUGAACUCGCUGUGAAGAUGCAGUGUACCCGCGGCAAGACGGAAAGACCCCGUGAACCUUUACUAUAGCUUGACACUGAACAUUGAGCCUUGAUGUGUAGGAUAGGUGGGAGGCUUUGAAGUGUGGACGCCAGUCUGCAUGGAGCCGACCUUGAAAUACCACCCUUUAAUGUUUGAUGUUCUAACGUUGGCCCGUAAUCCGGGUUGCGGACAGUGUCUGGUGGGUAGUUUGACUGGGGCGGUCUCCUCCUAAAGAGUAACGGAGGAGCACGAAGGUUGGCUAAUCCUGGUCGGACAUCAGGAGGUUAGUGCAAUGGCAUAAGCCAGCUUGACUGCGAGCGUGACGGCGCGAGCAGGUGCGAAAGCAGGUCAUAGUGAUCCGGUGGUUCUGAAUGGAAGGGCCAUCGCUCAACGGAUAAAAGGUACUCCGGGGAUAACAGGCUGAUACCGCCCAAGAGUUCAUAUCGACGGCGGUGUUUGGCACCUCGAUGUCGGCUCAUCACAUCCUGGGGCUGAAGUAGGUCCCAAGGGUAUGGCUGUUCGCCAUUUAAAGUGGUACGCGAGCUGGGUUUAGAACGUCGUGAGACAGUUCGGUCCCUAUCUGCCGUGGGCGCUGGAGAACUGAGGGGGGCUGCUCCUAGUACGAGAGGACCGGAGUGGACGCAUCACUGGUGUUCGGGUUGUCAUGCCAAUGGCACUGCCCGGUAGCUAAAUGCGGAAGAGAUAAGUGCUGAAAGCAUCUAAGCACGAAACUUGCCCCGAGAUGAGUUCUCCCUGAGACUUAGAGUCUCCUGAAGGAACGUUGAAGACGACGACGUUGAUAGGCCGGGUGUGUAAGCGCAGCGAUGCGUUGAGCUAACCGGUACUAAUGAACCGUGAGGCUUAACCUU